AGUGAACGCUGUCGGUAGGCCUAACACAUGCAAGUCGAACGGCAGCACAGUAAGAGCUUGCUCUUACGGGUGGCGAGUGGCGGACGGGUGAGGAAUACAUCGGAAUCUACUUUUUCGUGGGGGAUAACGUAGGGAAACUUACGCUAAUACCGCAUACGACCUACGGGUGAAAGCAGGGGAUCUUCGGACCUUGCGCGAUUGAAUGAGCCGAUGUCGGAUUAGCUAGUUGUCGGGGUAAAGGCCCACCAAGGCGACGAUCCGUAGCUGGUCUGAGAGGAUGAUCAGCCACACUGGAACUGAGACACGGUCCAGACUCCUACGGGAGGCAGCAGUGGGGAAUAUUGGACAAUGGGCGCAAGCCUGAUCCAGCCAUACCGCGUGGGUGAAGAAGGCCUUCGGGUUGUAAAGCCCUUUUGUUGGGAAAGAAAAGCAGCAGGUUAAUACCCCGCUGUUCUGACGGUACCCAAAGAAUAAGCACCGGCUAACUUCGUG
rnacentral:rRNA from 1 species